rnacentral:lncRNA from 1 species
GUCGGCCUCGCUGUUUACCGACCUCUUGCCUAGCUCUUCGGAUUGUUUCUUUGUAAGCUCAUCAAGUUUCUUCCAUAGUAGGUUGAAUUUCCUCUCCUAAUUCUGGGUACAUAGCCGCUUAAACAUUUUCAUAAGGGUCUUGUUCUUGAAUUGACUAUGGAAGUUUGCUCCCAUAUGCCUCGUGCACCAUCUACUCUUCAAGUCCAGCCAUAUCAGCACCCUGAAACGCUCCAUAAUGUCAUUCUGUAGGUCUUCAAUUGCUUGUAAAAUGCCUUUGUGCUGAUCAUGAAUUAGACAAACACCCUCCACAUCCUUCACAAUCAUCUGCUUCACCCUCUCCAGGAACCAAUACCAACUAUCUCCAGACUCCUCCACAAAGGCGAUCGCCAGCGGCAACACCUGAUUGUUACUGUCGCACCCAAUAGCUGUCAAGAUUGUGCCUUUAU